rnacentral:rRNA from 1 species
AACGUAGGGGGCGAGCGUUGUCCGGAUUUAUUGGGCGUAAAGCGAGCGCAGGUGGUUUAAUAAGUCUGAUGUAAAAGGCAGUGGCUCAACCAUUGUGUGCAUUGGAAACUGUUAGACUUGAGUGCAGUAGAGGAGAGUGGAAUUCCAUGUGUAGCGGUGAAAUGCGUAGAUAUAUGGAGGAACACCGGUGGCGAAAGCGGCUCUCUGGACUGUAACUGACACUGAGGCUCGAAAGCGUGGGUAGCAAACAGG